rnacentral:rRNA from 1 species
GCCAAAGACGGUAACAGCCCGGUAGUUGAAAUGGCUUUCCCUCCAGAGUGGAUCCUGAGUACGGCGGAACACGUGAAAUUCCGUCGGAAUCCGGGAGGACCAUCUCCCAAGGCUAAAUACUCCCUAGUGACCGAUAGUGAACCAGUACCGUGAGGGAAAGGUGAAAAGCACCCCGGAAGGGGAGUGAAACAGUUCCUGAAACCGUGUGCCUACAAGUAGUUAGAGCCCGUUAAUGGGUGAUAGCGUGCCUUUUGUAGAAUGAACCGGCGAGUUACGAUUUGUUGCAAGGUUAAGCGGAAAAAGCGGAGCCGUAGCGAAAGCGAGUCUGAAUAGGGCGCAUAAGUAACAGGUCGUAGACCCGAAACCAGGUGAUCUACCCAUGUCCAGGAUGAAGGUAAGGUAAUACUUACUGGAGGUCCGAACCCACGCACGUUGAAAAGUGCGGGGAUGAGGUGUGGGUAGCGGAGAAAUUCCAAUCGAACUUGGAGAUAGCUGGUUCUCUCCGAAAUAGCUUUAGGGCUAGCCUCGAGGUAAAGAGUCAUGGAGGUAGAGCACUGUUUGGACUAGGGGCCCUUCUCGGGUUACCGAAUUCAGAUAAACUCCGAAUGCCAUGUACUUAUACUCGGGAGUCAGACUGCGAGUGAUAAGAUCCGUAGUCGAAAGGGAAACAGCCCAGACCACCAGUUAAGGUCCCCAAAUAUAUGUUAAGUGGAAAAGGAUGUGGGGUUGCUUAGACAACCAGGAUGUUGGCUUAGAAGCAGCCACCAUUGAAAGAGUGCGUAAUAGCUCACUGGUCGAGUGACCCCGCGCCGAAAAUGUACCGGGGCUAAACAUAUUACCGAAACUGUGGAUGAACCUCUUUAGAGGUUCGUGGUAGGAGAGCGUUCUAAGGGCGGUGAAGUCAGACCGGAAGGACUGGUGGAGCGCUUAGAAGUGAGAAUGCCGGUAUGAGUAGCGAAAGAAGGGUGAGAAUCCCUUCCACCGAAUAUCUAAGGUUUCCUGAGGAAGGCUCGUCCGCUCAGGGUUAGUCGGGACCUAAGCCGAGGCCGAUAGGCGUAGGCGAUGGACAACAGGUAGAGAUUCCUGUACCAGUGCUAAUUGUUUAACCGAUGGGGUGACACAGAAGGAUAGGGAAUCGCACGAAUGGAAAUGUGCGUCCAAGCAGUGAGUGUGAGAAGUAGGCAAAUCCGCUUCUCGCGAAGCAUGAGCUGUGAUGGGGAAGGAAAUUAAGUACGGAAGUUCCUGAUUUCACGCUGUCAAGAAAAGCCUCUAGGAAGAGUAGUACUGCCCGUACCGCAAACCGACACAGGUAGAUGAGGAGAGAAUCCUAAGGUGAGCGAGAGAACUCUCGUUAAGGAACUCGGCAAAAUGACCCCGUAACUUCGGGAGAAGGGGUGCUCUAUUAGGGUGCAAGCCCGAGAGAGCCGCAGUGAAUAGGCCCAGGCGACUGUUUAGCAAAAACACAGGUCUCUGCAAAACCGUAAGGUGACGUAUAGGGGCUGACGCCUGCCCGGUGCUGGAAGGUUAAGAGGAGUGCUUAGCUUCGGCGAAGGUACGAAUUGAAGCCCCAGUAAACGGCGGCCGUAACUAUAACGGUCCUAAGGUAGCGAAAUUCCUUGUCGGGUAAGUUCCGACCCGCACGAAAGGCGCAACGAUCUGGGCACUGUCUCAACGAGAGACUCGGUGAAAUUAUAGUACCUGUGAAGAUGCAGGUUACCCGCGACAGGACGGAAAGACCCCGUGGAGCUUUACUGCAACCUGAUAUGGAAUGUUUGUACCGCUUGUACAGGAUAGGUAGGAGCCGAAGAGACGUGUGCGCUAGCAUACGAGGAGGCAAUGGUGGGAUACUACCCUGGCUGUAUGACCAUUCUAACCCGCCACGCUUAGCGCGUGGGGAGACAGUGUCAGGUGGGCAGUUUGACUGGGGCGGUCGCCUCCUAAAGAGUAACGGAGGCGCCCAAAGGUUCCCUCAGAAUGGAUGGAAAUCAUUCGCAGAGUGUAAAGGCACAAGGGAGCUUGACUGCGAGACUGACAAGUCGAGCAGGGACGAAAGUCGGGCUUAGUGAUCCGGUGGUUCCGCAUGGAAGGGCCAUCGCUCAACGGAUAAAAGCUACCCCGGGGAUAACAGGCUUAUCUCCCCCAAGAGUCCACAUCGACGGGGAGGUUUGGCACCUCGAUGUCGGCUCGUCGCAUCCUGGGGCUGUAGUCGGUCCCAAGGGUUGGGCUGUUCGCCCAUUAAAGCGGCACGCGAGCUGGGUUCAGAACGUCGUGAGACAGUUCGGUCCCUAUCCGUCGCGGGCGCAGGAAAUUUGAGAGGAGCUGUCCUUAGUACGAGAGGACCGGGAUGGACACACCGCUGGUGUACCAGUUGUUCCGCCAGGAGCAUCGCUGGGUAGCUAUGUGUGGCAGGGAUAAACGCUGAAAGCAUCUAAGCGUGAAGCCCCCCUCAAGAUGAGAUUUCCCAUUUCUUCGGAAAGUAAGAUCCCUGAAAGAUGAUCAGGUAGAUAGGUUUGGAGUGGAAGUGUAGCGAUACAUGGAGCGGACAAAUACUAAUCGAUCGAGGACUUAACCAAAA